rnacentral:rRNA from 1 species
UACGAAGGGGGCUAGCGUUGUUCGGAAUUACUGGGCGUAAAGCGCGUGUAGGCGGGUCUUUAAGUCAGGGGUGAAAUCCCGGGGCUCAACCCCGGAACUGCCCUUGAAACUGGAGAGCUGGAAUCUUGGAGAGGCGAGUGGAAUUCCGAGUGUAGAGGUGAAAUUCGUAGAUAUUCGGAAGAACACCAGUGGCGAAGGCGACUCGCUGGACAAGUAUUGACGCUGAGGUGCGAAAGCGUGGGGAGCAAACAGG